rnacentral:tRNA from 1 species
AUAUGAAAAACCAUCGUUGUAYUUCAACUAUAAGAAC